rnacentral:rRNA from 1 species
UACAGAGGGUGCAAGCGUUAAUCGGAAUUACUGGGCGUAAAGCGUGCGUAGACGGUUAUGUAAGUCGGGUGUGAAAGCCCCGGGCUCAACCUGGGAAUUGCAUUCGAGACUGUGUAGCUAGGGUACGGAAGAGGGAAGCGGAAUUUCAGGUGUAGCGGUGAAAUGCGUAGAUAUCUGGAGGAACACCAGUGGCGAAAGCGGCUUCCUGGUCCAGUACCGACGUCAGGCACGAAAGCGUGGGGAGCAAACAGG